CGAGGAUUUGAUCCUGGUCCAGGAUGAACGCUGGCGGCGUGGAUAAGGCAUGCAAGUCGAGCGGACCUUACUUUGAUCUUGGUUUGAAGCACCGAGAGUAGCAAUACAAUUUGUGCGGAUGGCCGAGGGAUUUGUUUGGUUAGCGGCGAACGAGUUAGUAACACCUUGGUUACGUACCCUGAAGUCGGGUAUAGCCCACCGAAAGGUGGGGUAAUCCCCGAUGGUCUCGCAAGAGUAAACCCGCAAGGGGCUUCAGGAUCGACCUAGGUCCGAUCAGCUAGUUGGUAGGGUAACGGCCUACCAAGGCUAUGACCGGUAGGGGAGGUGAGAGCCUGACCCCCAACGACGAGACUGAGACACGGCUCGUACUCCUACGGGAGGCAGCAGUCGAGAAUAUACCCUGCGGAAAGAGGUUGGUAACUACGUGCCAGCACCCGCGGUAAUACGUAGACCUCAAGCGUUAUCCGGAUUUAUUGGGCGUAAAGCGCGUGUAGGGGGCCCGGCGCGUCUUCCGUUAAAGCCCACCGCCCAACGGUGGAAGUGCGGAGGAUACGGCCGGACUAGAGGAAGUUAGAGGUGCAUGGAACGCACGGUGUAGGGGUGAAAUCCGUUGAUAUCGUGCGGAACACCAAAGGCGAAGGCAGUGCACUGGGACUCUCCUGACCCUGAGACGCGAAAGCGUGGGGAGCAAAAAGGAUUAGAUACCCUUGUAGUCCACGCCCUAAACGAUGCCUGCUUGCUGUUUCGAGUAUCGACCCUCGGGGUGGCGUAGCUAACGCGUUAAGCAGGCCGCCUGGGAAGUACGGCCGCAAGGCUAAAACUCAAAGGAAUAGACGGGGACUCGCACAAGCGGUGGAGCAUGAGGUUUAGGGGUAACGAACGCAACCCCUAUCCGGUGUUGGGAGGAAGGAGGGGAUGACGUCAAAUCCGCAUGGCCCUUUGAUACCCUGGGCUACACUCAUGCUACAAUGGCCGAGACAAUGGGUUGCCAAGCCGUAAGGCGGAGCUAAUCCCAUCAAACUCGGUCCCAGUUCGGAUUGGGGGCUGCAACUCGUCCCCAUGAAGUUGGAAUCGCUAGUAAUCGCGUAUCAGCCACGACGCGGUGAAUACGUUCUCGAGUCCUGUACUCACUGCCCGUCAAGCCAAGGGAGCCGGGAAGAGGUGAAGAUCGCUUCGGCGGUUCAGCCUUAGCUCGGUAACAUGGGCUAAGUCGUAACAAGGCACGCGUAGCGGAAGCUGUGCGUGGAUCAA
rnacentral:rRNA from 1 species